CCAAGGAAAAUUUUGAGGCAUAAGGAGAAUAUUUUGAGGCACUAGCUGGUUUUUGACCUUGAACUUUGUUUGGAAUAAUGUCUAUGAUUGGUUACGAUGUUCCAUGUUUAUUCUAACAGUGCAUUUUAUUGGUGCAUUUUAUCAACUCCCUCAAGUACAGCAAGCGUACCUCACUAUUUUCGACUUUCGACUUUCGAGAUACUAGUAUCGUUAACAUUUACCGCACGCAAUUUCUUCUGAAAAUGGAUAGAGAUUGUUUUCUAGAAGCCCAAGAGGCAAUGAACAGCAACAACAAAGAAGCUCUGUUGCUUCUGUACAACGAGCUACGCGGGCAGUUGAAUUCAAAGCCAAGAUGUUCAUCUUACUUGCUUCGAUCAAAACUGGGCAAUUCACUGUACCGGCAUAUUGUCGCUGAGACAUAUAUUCUAAGCAGUAUGAAAUCGCAGGGAAAGAUCUACACUGCAAUCAGAUCUCAAGCAUCAGGGAAUUGUCUUUACAGCUCAGUAUCUUUGCUGCUUGUAGGAGACAACAGCUUAUGACUGAGCACCAUGACCUUAGUCUUGUUAAUCUUUUGCCAUUAUCAGUAUCGGCCUCAUGUUUAGAUUCCGGCUUAAAGAAUGAGGAUUUAAUUAAGCAAGAAGCUAUUUUAAAUUGUUAUGAUGGUACCUGGUCACCUUUCUUGUGUAUUCUGGGCUUAUCAUCAGUUAUUGGUAAUGAAAUAUUUACUUAUUAUCCAGAUUGUGGGGACAUAAGACCCAAAUUACUUUUUAAUAGACAUGUAAACCCUCGCUUGGCAAAUGAAGCAAUUGUGAAGGAUGUUGCUGUUCACAUAUUAUUCUGCUAUGAAGGCAAGGUUAAGUCU